AGUGAACGCUGGCGGUAGGCCUAACACAUGCAAGUCGAACGGCAGCACAGUAAGAGCUUGCUCUUACGGGUGGCGAGUGGCGGACGGGUGAGGAAUACAUCGGAAUCUACUUUUUCGUGGGGGAUAACGUAGGGAAACUUACGCUAAUACCGCAUACGACCUACGGGUGAAAGCAGGGGAUCUUCGGACCUUGCGCGAUUGAAUGAGCCGAUGUCGGAUUAGCUAGUUGGCGGGGUAAAGGCCCACCAAGGCGACGAUCCGUAGCUGGUCUGAGAGGAGGAUCAGCCACACUGGAACUGAGACACGGUCCAUACUCCUACGGGAGGCAGCAGUGGGGAAUAUUGGACAAUGGGCGCAAGCCUGAUCCAGCCAUACCGCGUGGGUGAAGAAGGCCUUCGGGUUGUAAAGCCCUUUUGUUGGGAAAGAAAAGCAGCAGGUUAAUACCCCGCUGUUCUGACGGUACCCAAAGAAUAAGCACCGGCUAACUUCGUG
rnacentral:rRNA from 1 species